AACUGCGAUAACUCCAAUGCUGUGACCUUGACACCAUCCGCUGCACACUCCACACUCCCAACCAACCGGGCACACAGCAGGCGUCAGUUGCUGGCGCCGUAUGUUUUGAGAGACACACACACACACACACACACACACACACACACAUACACACACACACACUUACAUCACUCCUGCACACCGCUCCUGCUCACAGUUUCUCGUGGAUGUCGGGGUACUGCCAGGGGGCGAAGCCCUUGCCGUUGAUGUCGCCAGCCUUGGCCUCCUCGCUCUGGGGCAGCUGCAGGUAGUCGCCCGUGAACUCCCAGAACGGC
rnacentral:lncRNA from 1 species